rnacentral:rRNA from 10 species
GGGUUGUGAGGUUAAGCGACUAAGCGUACACGGUGGAUGCCCUGGCAGUCAGAGGCGAUGAAGGACGUGCUAAUCUGCGAAAAGCGUCGGUAAGGUGAUAUGAACCGUUAUAACCGGCGAUGUCCGAAUGGGGAAACCCAGUGCAAUUCGUUGCACUAUCGUUAACUGAAUACAUAGGUUAACGAGGCGAACCGGGGGAACUGAAACAUCUAAGUACCCCGAGGAAAAGAAAUCAACCGAGAUUCCCCCAGUAGCGGCGAGCGAACGGGGAGCAGCCCAGAGUCUGAAUCAGCUUGUGUGUUAGUGGAACGGUCUGGAAAGUCCGACGGUACAGGGUGAUAGUCCCGUACACCAAAAUGCACAGGUUGUGAACUCGAAGAGUAGGGCGGGACACGUGGUAUCCUGUCUGAAUAUGGGGGGACCAUCCUCCAAGGCUAAAUACUCCUGACUGACCGAUAGUGAACCAGUACCGUGAGGGAAAGGCGAAAAGAACCCCGGCGAGGGGAGUGAAAAAGAACCUGAAACCGUGUACGUACAAGCAGUGGGAGCACCUUCGGGUGUGACUGCGUACCUUUUGUAUAAUGGGUCAGCGACUUAUAUUCUGUAGCAAGGUUAACCGUAUAGGGGAGCCGCAGGGAAACCGAGUCUUAACUGGGCGUUAAGUUGCAGGGUAUAGACCCGAAACCCGGUGAUCUAGCCAUGGGCAGGUUGAAGGUUGGGUAACACUAACUGGAGGACCGAACCGACUAAUGUUGAAAAAUUAGCGGAUGACUUGUGGCUGGGGGUGAAAGGCCAAUCAAACCGGGAGAUAGCUGGUUCUCCCCGAAAGCUAUUUAGGUAGCGCCUCGUGAACUCAUCUUCGGGGGUAGAGCACUGUUUCGGCUAGGGGGUCAUCCCGACUUACCAACCCGAUGCAAACUACGAAUACCGAAGAAUGUUAUCACGGGAGACACACGGCGGGUGCUAACGUCCGUCGUGAAGAGGGAAACAACCCAGACCGCCAGCUAAGGUCCCAAAGUCAUGGUUAAGUGGGAAACGAUGUGGGAAGGCACAGACAGCCAGGAUGUUGGCUUAGAAGCAGCCAUCAUUUAAAGAAAGCGUAAUAGCUCACUGGUCGAGUCGGCCUGCGCGGAAGAUGUAACGGGGCUAAACCAUGCACCGAAGCUGCGGCAGCGACACUAUGUGUUGUUGGGUAGGGGAGCGUUCUGUAAGCCUGCGAAGGUGUGCUGUGAGGCAUGCUGGAGGUAUCAGAAGUGCGAAUGCUGACAUAAGUAACGAUAAAGCGGGUGAAAAGCCCGCUCGCCGGAAGACCAAGGGUUCCUGUCCAACGUUAAUCGGGGCAGGGUGAGUCGACCCCUAAGGCGAGGCCGAAAGGCGUAGUCGAUGGGAAACAGGUUAAUAUUCCUGUACUUGGUGUUACUGCGAAGGGGGGACGGAGAAGGCUAUGUUAGCCGGGCGACGGUUGUCCCGGUUUAAGCAUGUAGGCUGAUUGUCCAGGCAAAUCCGGAUAAUCAAGGCUGAGGUGUGAUGACGAGGCACUACGGUGCUGAAGUAACAAAUGCCCUGCUUCCAGGAAAAGCCUCUAAGCAUCAGGUAACAUUAAAUCGUACCCCAAACCGACACAGGUGGUCAGGUAGAGAAUACCAAGGCGCUUGAGAGAACUCGGGUGAAGGAACUAGGCAAAAUGGUGCCGUAACUUCGGGAGAAGGCACGCUGGUGUGUAGGUGAAGUCCCUGCGGAUGGAGCUGAGACCAGUCGAAGAUACCAGCUGGCUGCAACUGUUUAUUAAAAACACAGCACUGUGCAAACACGAAAGUGGACGUAUACGGUGUGACGCCUGCCCGGUGCCGGAAGGUUAAUUGAUGGGGUUAUCCGUAAGGAGAAGCUCUUGAUCGAAGCCCCGGUAAACGGCGGCCGUAACUAUAACGGUCCUAAGGUAGCGAAAUUCCUUGUCGGGUAAGUUCCGACCUGCACGAAUGGCGUAAUGAUGGCCAGGCUGUCUCCACCCGAGACUCAGUGAAAUUGAACUCGCUGUGAAGAUGCAGUGUACCCGCGGCAAGACGGAAAGACCCCGUGAACCUUUACUAUAGCUUGACACUGAACAUUGAGCCUUGAUGUGUAGGAUAGGUGGGAGGCUUUGAAGCGUGGACGCCAGUCUGCGUGGAGCCAACCUUGAAAUACCACCCUUUAAUGUUUGAUGUUCUAACGUUGGCCCCUGACCGGGGUUGCGGACAGUGUCUGGUGGGUAGUUUGACUGGGGCGGUCUCCUCCCAAAGCGUAACGGAGGAGCACGAAGGUUAGCUAAUCCUGGUCGGACAUCAGGAGGUUAGUGCAAUGGCAUAAGCUAGCUUGACUGCGAGCGUGACGGCGCGAGCAGGUGCGAAAGCAGGUCAUAGUGAUCCGGUGGUUCUGAAUGGAAGGGCCAUCGCUCAACGGAUAAAAGGUACUCCGGGGAUAACAGGCUGAUACCGCCCAAGAGUUCAUAUCGACGGCGGUGUUUGGCACCUCGAUGUCGGCUCAUCACAUCCUGGGGCUGAAGUAGGUCCCAAGGGUAUGGCUGUUCGCCAUUUAAAGUGGUACGCGAGCUGGGUUUAGAACGUCGUGAGACAGUUCGGUCCCUAUCUGCCGUGGGCGCUGGAGAAUUGAGGGGGGCUGCUCCUAGUACGAGAGGACCGGAGUGGACGCAUCACUGGUGUUCGGGUUGUCAUGCCAAUGGCACUGCCCGGUAGCUAAAUGCGGAAGAGAUAAGUGCUGAAAGCAUCUAAGCACGAAACUUGCCCCGAGAUGAGUUCUCCCUGAGACUUUAAGUCUCCUGAAGGAACGUUGAAGACGACGACGUUGAUAGGCCGGGUGUGUAAGCGCAGCGAUGCGUUGAGCUAACCGGUACUAAUGAACCGUGAGGCUUAACCUUACAACGCCGAAG